rnacentral:pre_miRNA from 1 species
AGAUCUAGCGUCUUCGAUCAGCGAUUCGUUCGGAUUCCAAUUCAAACUGAUCGAGCAGUCGUUUGAAUUGGGAUUUGUCGAAUUGAGGGCCGAGAUGAAUAGAUCU